GACGGAGGAUGCAAGCGUUAUCCGGAAUGAUUGGGCGUAAAGCGUCCGCAGGUGGCAGUUCAAGUCUGCUGUCAAAGACCGGGGCUUAACUUCGGAAAGGCAGUGGAAACUGAACAGCUAGAGUAUGGUAGGGGCAGAGGGAAUUCCUGGUGUAGCGGUGAAAUGCGUAGAGAUCAGGAAGAACACCAGUGGCGAAGGCGCUCUACUGGGCCGUAACUGACACUGAGGGACGAAAGCUAGGGGAGCGAAAGGG
rnacentral:rRNA from 1 species